AUUGAACGCUGGCGGCAGGCCUAACACAUGCAAGUCGAACGAGUGGCGGACGGGUGGGUAAUUGCUUGGCAACUGCCUGAUGGAGGGGGAUAACUACUGGAAACGGUAGCUAAUACCGCAUACCACCAGUUGGGCCCACGUGGGAUUAGCUUGUUGGUGGGGUAACGGCUCACCAUGGCGACGCUCCCUAGCUGGCCUGAGAGGGUGACCGGCCACACUGGGACUGAGACACGGCCCAGACUCCUACGGGAGGCAGCAGUGGGGAAUAUUGCGCAAUGGGCGCAAGUCUGAUGCAGCCACGCCGCGUGUAUGAAGAAGGCCUUCGGGUUGUAAAGCACUGUCGGCGGGGAGGCGUUACCCGCAGAAGAAGCACCGGCUAACUCCGUGCCAGCAGCCGCGGUAAUUC
rnacentral:rRNA from 1 species